rnacentral:rRNA from 1 species
UAGGGAAUCUUCCAUAAUGGGCGAAAGCCUGAUGGAGCAACGCCGCGUGUGUGAUGAAGGGUUUCGGCUCGUAAAACACUGUUGUAAGAGAAGAAUGACAUUGAGAGUAACUGUUCAAUGUGUGACGGUAUCUUACCAGAAAGGAACGGCUAAAUACGUGCCAC